rnacentral:lncRNA from 1 species
AAUUUUGAAAUAUCACAGAAAAAAACACAAAACCUAAACGUAAACCUAAAACCCAUUUUUUUUAAGGCAGCCGCCGCCCCCUCCCCCCUGGUUUUAAUUUUUUUUCGACAGCUGCCGGCCACAAGAAAAAAAUCCAAGACAGCUCCCCGAUCCUCCUCUCGGCUGUUUCUCCCUUUCUUCUCCUUCGGCUACUCAUCCUUCAGAAACCAGAGCCGGCUUAUUCUCCCCUUUCCACUUUCAAAGCCAGCAGCCCCCACCUCUCCUUCAUUUCUUUCUCCAGCUUCUCCCCUCAACCAUGGCCGCCCCUAUUUUUUCAAAAAAAUAGAAAAACACCACUUGAAAACAAAGACAGCCCCGAACCCCUCCCUCUUGAUUUUCUUCUUCCUCAGCCGCCGGACAAGCCUCGCCCCAGGCCAUUUUUUUCUUCGUUUAUCUUCUCCCUUCAGCCGGGCGGAUCUUCAGCUCCUUUCAACAGAAAACAGAAGGAAAGCCCCCGCUACUCCCAUUUCCUUAUCUCCCUUUCAGCAGCGGCUCCUCCCCACAGAGCCGUUCUCCCACCUCCACCAAGCCACCGAUCUGCCACCCGAAGCAGAGGAGAAGAAGACGAAACCCAGCGCCCACCGGACAAGCAGCAGCAAGGCCAGCCACCGCUGUUCCUUUCCCCAGCAGCGUCGCUCCCCCUUUUUGCAACCGCCGGAUCCACCACCAGAAAUAGAGGAGAAGAAGACACCCACAACCGCCGGCCAUCUGAACAGAAGAAGAGGAAACGGAAACAAUCUGCAGAGAGGGGCAGAUCGAAGACGGCGGAGAAAGAAAGAACAAAAAAAAACAGAUUUGAAAAAACUAAGAAAAAACUUAAAAUCGACUGCCCUUGCUGUCUGUGUUUUUUUAUUUACAGGUAACACCGGCGAGGACGGGAAGAGGGGAUGAAGCUGCCACCAGACCUCCUGCUGCGUUUUUUUCGGGGCGGCGCGUGAGCCCACGCGCCGCCAGUCACGGCGGUGCGUCGGGUCCACGCGCCGCUGCUGUUCAGGCAGCCCAGAACUGUUCCUGAAGGGUUUUCCAGCACUGUUAUGGAUUGUUUAGGGACCAUUUUGUAAAUUUUAAAGUUUUAAUGUAAUUUUUGUUUAUUUAUUUUAAAUUUGUAAUAUGUGAAUGUAAAAAAAAAAAAGAAGAAAAGAAAAGAAAAUAAUAAUAAAAAAGGGGAUGUGUGUGUUGGUGUAUUUUCAUUUAUUUAUUUUGAAUUUGAAUUUGUAUUUGUAUUUGUAUUGUGGAUGUAAAAGAAAAGAAGAAAAAAAAAAAGAAAAAAAAAGAAAAAAUAGUGAAACUGUAUGUGUAUAUGUGUUUGUAUUUUAUUUUAUUUAUUUGUUUUUUUUACGAUAAAAUUGCAAAAUAUUAAAGAAGAAUUUAAUAUUUUGAUCGGAUCACGGUUAAGAAUUAUUAACUUAUACGUAAGUGAUAUUUCUAAUUUCCGACGAAAAGACAAUUAUUAAAACUUCUUUAACACGUCAAAGCCACGAAGCAGCUUACCUCAGGUAGGGUGCGUUAGGGGUGCUAAUACCUUCCCUAACCACAACCAGUCCUUACCCGCGAAUCUCUGACAGACCAGUGCAUCCGGUUUCCUAGUAGCCUUCAAUAAAUUACUAGGUGGCGACUCAACGAACGAAUUCAAAACACGCAACAACGAGAUGAAAAAUCGCCACCGAUGCCGCGCGCUGAUUUUUUGGGGUGCGACAGAAUGGCGACUCCACUGGGGAAGGUAUUUUUUCGAUUAUUGGACUAAGCUUUGUGUAUUUGAUGUGUUUAAGUUUUUGCAUUUUUAUCUUUUUGUUAAUAUUUAUUUCCAUGCAUUUUAUAGAAUUGUCUCAUGCAUCACCUGUAUUUAUUUUUAAAAGCACACACAAGCUUCUAGGUUAGGUGGGGAACUAGCGAUCUGCCCUAAGACUAUUGGUCAGGGUUCAGAUGCGUGAAACACCCAACUCAUAUCUGAGUGCCUGCUUGGUAAUGGUGGGUAUAUGUGCCUUAACCAUUCCUUGCAACGCCCCCAAACUGUCUUUACGAAGAACGUCACUGGGCAGAUAUGAGACCCUUUUGAGACCAGAUAGAAAACUUACCCAUGUUCACAUAAUGAAUAGAACCUGUCCUUAGGUUGUAUGUGCUAUCGUUUUUUGCAUAAGGGCAAACCCUUCUUGAAGCAUCUUGAACUCAAGACUUGUGGGUGACACAUUGGCCGUUGCUCCGAAAAUUUUCAUUGUAGAGUUUGGGCAAAAAUCACGAUUCUUGUCCAUCAUACAAGAGUUACGACCAUAUUGUCACCUCUCGAAGGGAGAGUUCAUCAUAUAGAUUACAUGUUCAUACAUUUAUCAUGCAUGAACCGGGUCGAAACGUAGGUCCCUUGUACAAGUUGUGCUGCACGAGAUUGAAGAAAAAUAAUGGAAGUGAACAAAGGAGUCAGAUAUAGGUUCAGCAUCAGAUUAAGGUUGAGAGCAUCAAGAGUGAAGUAGCGGGACUCAGAUCUGCUCGAACAAGUGUUGAGCAUCAAAUGAAAAGAGAAUGUCUGCACAGUUUGCUGUGGGAACACUGCUUGUUCACGUCCAAUUGAAGAUGUACCUUUCCUUUUCAAUCAUGAACAACAACAACAACGCCUUCAGUCAUCAACUAAUGACAACUCUGAUUCCUGUCCAGUCGCGCUGUUAAGUAUUCAUCGCCUCCACAUCAUCUAAUGGAACCAAACGACUACUAACCUCCUGUUCAUGGUGCAUUAGUCUGCUUUGAAGUUACCCCAAUUAUGAGCAAUUCCAGUUCAGCAGCACAAGAUGUUGGUCUAAAAAAAAAACCAUGAUCAAACACUGAAUUUCAACGCGGUAGAGCUCUCUCUGUAGAGAUUUAUUUGUGGAUCUGUCAAUGGCAAAUGCAAAAGGGAAUGUAUUAAUUUCAUAUGCUUUGAAACUUUUUCCACCGGUGGCACCAGCAAAACAUUGUAGUAGGCAGAAGAGUCAGACCUGGUCUGAUAAUAUUAGUAGUUGUCAAACUUCAAUGUGGCAGAGCUCUCUCUACAAAAAUCCAUUUAUGGCUCUGCAAAUUGGGAAUGCAAGAGGGGAUUUACUAAUUGCAUAUGCUACAAAUAUUUCUCUCAUCAGUUUCAGCACGAAGAAACUAUAGCAGGUUGAAGAGCCAGACUUGGCUUGAAAAAUAUGAGUAGACAUCAAACUUCAACGUAGCAGAGCUCUCUCGACAGGAAUCUGUUUGUGGAUCCGCAAGUGUGAAAUCCAAGAAGGAAUACAGUAGUUUCAGAUCAUUUAUGAUUUUUCUCCAACAGUGUCAGUAUUAAAAUGCAAAAGUAAAGAGAAGAUACAUGCCUAGACUGAAAAACAUGAAGAAUACUGAAACUUCAACAGAGCAGGACUUCCUCUAUAGGUGUUUGUUUGCUGCACUGUCAGUGAGAAAUUGAAGAGGGGACGAAGGAGUUUUAGAUUCAUCAGGUGCUCUUCCAAUAAAGACAAUGUGUGAUUCCACACGUCGGUAGUGGCGAUACUAGAAGUUUCUGGAUGCUGCCAAGAUUACCAAGCUGUUAGAAAGUUUUCUAACAAUCCUCAACCAACCAUAGCAACAUUGGAAGAUUGAAGGAUCUGCCAUGGAUUCUAGAACAAUGAUGAGAGGUGAAUCAGGAGAUGACUUUGACAGUGUGAACCCUUAAUUAUGUGGUAUAGCCAGGUCUCACGGCAUCAUCAAUUGCUCAAAAUAUCUUUGCCAAGAUGGGACAUUGCUCUGCCGUUUAAGUUGUCGACCAGCAUCCGCAAGAUUCCAGAAUUUUGCUUGACUCCGACAAAUUCCCAUGCAACCACCAAUUUCUUAGUGGUAUAAUCCAGAUAAGAGAUGUGAUGUCAUGGUGGGGUCCUCAACCAUUUCAAGUGAACAGUUUCAAGAAUAGCAAGAAUUGAGUCUGGAAGUUGGUGAGCAAGAGACAGGUGGAGUCGUUGAAGAAGGGUGUCACUGGCUAUAUUGUUCCCCGAACAUCUUCAGAAGGACAUGUGAUCGAAAAUGCUUGGCAAAACACAGAUAUUGCCAGAAAAGCUGAUUCGAGAAGGGUGAUGAACAGUCAAUCAUAUUGUUAUGGAAUUCUGCAUUUUGUUUUGGGAUCACAUCUCAUCCUUCAACGAAACAUGCCUUGCUUUUGUCUCUUUGUUGUUUUGAAAUCAACAGAUGUUUAGCAUUUUAUUCUGACAAAAUAUUUUGAUCAAACUACAACAUGCGAUAAAGGUUAAUCAAUCCGGAAGAUUAGAAGUGUUUUGAUUACAGAAAUGACUCUAUGCUUGAAAAUGACAUGAGGUGACCAAACAAUUUUGAACUCAUACCUCCUGAAACUGAACCACACAUCAUAUAGCUAAGUUUUAACAGUAUGCAUAAUGACAUGUAGUGGAUUCGGUAGUCAUGGACUCGUGAAUCAUGAUUCUUACAAGUCCCAAUCAUUACACUGGAUGAGGUCAAAAUUUAUCGGUUAUAACCGACCUUGCUUGAAAUGAGAAAAGGCCAUCUUUGAUAUCCCUUCACUUUCUAAAGAUUAUAUCCCUUGCAGUCCCAUUUUGAGCCUGGUAAAAUAUUUUCUUUCAAAAAAAGAAACCCUGACUAGGAUCACACCCCACACUGGGGGCAAAUGAGAGAUAUUUUGGAGACAUUGAUAUAAUUAAUGGAUAAAGGGGAAGGCUUAGAACAAAGGUCCAAUGAUUGAGAGAGAGCUAAAAGAAAACACAUAGACUGGGGGCAUAUAAGAAAAUUUUGAGGAAGGCUAUGAAAAAAAAAAAAAAGAGAAUGAAAAAAGGAAGUUGAAAUUGCCUUCACUUAAAUACAAGUCAAAGAUAAAGGAAGGAGAACGCCUAUCAAGUCUAUGAAGAGCAAAAGAAAUUUCAAUCAAGGAAAGGCACAACAAAAGUCAAUACCAGAAAAAAGACUAAGCUAUAAGCGUUGACUUUUGGUAUCCGUUAUAAAACCUAUGAUGAUUAAGGUUGGUUAUUCCUCAAAGAAAGUUGGAUUUGCAUUAUGACUUAUGUUAAGAAAAGUCGGAACUUUGAGGUUAACAAGGUUAUAUGUCGUUUCCUCUAUAAAGAUAACAAUAGAAAACAAGUUGAUGAAUAGUUGAUGUUGAUCCUAGGUCUUUGAAACCCUCAAACACCUUUUGAGCCUGUGAAAUUCCUUUCUUUCAUAGCCAUGAACCAUAGCCUGCAUUACAUGCUUUUUAAAGCCCUUUUUAAUCAAGCAAGCAACUUGAACCGAUAAAUGGCGCUCUCAAAACUUGAAGAGUUUUUCCAUAAGAGUCGUGACUUCAUGAAUUAAGUUACCGGUCGUUAUGCAUGUUGAUAAAAUUAUUGCUAAAAACAAAACAUGUUUCCUUCAUGAAUCCUCAAGUUUUGACUUGAGCCUGUUGUUUUCCUUGAAAUUCACAGAAGGUCACCUCACCAUAAACUAUCAAAUGAUAUACCCAAUAUCAAGGAUUCAAAUUGAUACAAAGAACCAUGGAAAAAGCCAUUUUUAAUCCUACAUUGGGUCAAUUUCUGUUUUCAAAAUGCAUGACAAUCAAAGGACUAUAUAUUUCGAAUAAAAUGUGUUGGGCCUUUGAUCAAAAAGCUUGAUUUUCAAAAGAUUUUAAAAAAAGACAUCUCUGAUUUUCAUUUCAACAAACUAGACUUUGAAUAGACAUGAUCUUUGAAAUAUGAGAGUUGAUUCCAGAACAAGGAAGAUUAUCAAACACAGAAGAACAUUGAUUGAGUAUGCAAAAUCGUUGAUAGAAAUGACAUUGAAGUCCUCGACACUCCUUGAAAAGUUGAGCAGCUGGGGGCAAUACAGUAGACCUUGAAAAGGAAAAACAAGCAGUGCUCAGAUCAGCUAUGAGGCAAUGUUUAAAUGAUGAAUCAGUGAACUGAAGACAAUGAUGUUCAAAGACAGAUAAUCAAUGAACGAGCACAUUCGGAUUACUGGGGCAAUGUCAUUCCAAAAUGGCCCAUGCUUUAGUGAAUCCUGUCGGCAAUGGAGAAACAACGUACCUGAAGGCACUUUCCUAUCAUCAUUUUUUGAAACAUGGCUCGCGAUCGAUGAGGAAUACACAGAUGAAUGUAAUUGGUGAAAAGAUGCACACCACCAAGACUGACUGUGGAACAAUGCUGCACUUAAAGGACAAUCUCAUAUUGUCAUUCUUUGAAACAUGGUUAUAGACAGAUGUUAUCACACAACUGCACUGAAUGAAUGUCGGAAAGGCACCCACCUCGAAGACUGAUUGUGGGACAUCUAUUCUGAAGCUCAAAUGCGCACUUCACCGCAUGAAUAUGGGUGAUAACAUGAACAUCAUUGAUGAUGCCAAAGCAGGUAUUUUCACGAUCUGAUUUGACAAGCUAAGAGGAAUCCAUAGAGAAAUACAUCGCGCUUACAAUGAUGAGCUGUUUACUGCAAAGCAUGAGAUACAUGUCUGGAUGACUUGGCAGUUCCAUGAAGGCUGGUGACCAUACAUACUUGAAUGGUGUUUCAACCGAAGGCAAGUUCAUGACUGAUUAACAAACGUGAUGGGUGUUGGCAUGAUGCACACAAUCAAUCAGAGGAUAAUUUCUCAGAAGAAGCCAGGAGAGAAAAUCUCUCAUGAUGAAUCAAGCAGUACUACACUUGGGGGCAGGGUCAAGCUUCAUGAACGAUGCAAGCAGUAAUUGUCGAAGACAGCCCGGGAUGGGCACUGCAUUUACAGCUGAGUGGAUGGCUAACACAUGAAUGAGCCAAUACAUCGGAAGAACAAAGAAAGCUUUGGGAUACAAACAAGGGCACCCUAUGACGAUGGAGCAUCAAAGAGGGGGGACCUAUUAUUUCAAAUCAGGUAAGGAUGCAUGCAUAUCAUCUAACCUCAAAAAAAAAAAAAAAAAAAAACCAUUUGCACAUAUUUUUGAAUUGUUACAGGAAAAUCCUUAAUGAGGUCCAGCAAGAUGGUGGAAAGAGAAAGAAGCAUUGUGGUGAUGAUAAUAAAGAAUCGGUUUUGAUCAUGGAAUAAAAGGACGAUGGGAUGAACCCUACCAUUAGGAAAAUCCCAAAGAAAUGAAUAGAUCAACCUUGCAACCGGGAAGCCUCGAGUUUUCAACCCUUGCAGUCAGGAAACACCGAGUUUUCAAACCCCAUGAUCGGGAAUUAUCAGGAAGCACCAAGUCUUCCAGCCCUUUCUUCUGUCAUCCCUUCAGAACUUCGCCAGGUAAGUCCUAUUUUUCACACUUGUCAUAUCACAUUUUUCCAUCUGGGUAGGUCACCCAUCAUAAUGAGACCAUUUUUGUUCACAUUUUCCACUGGGUGGUCACCCAUACAAUGAGACCGUUUUUCACAUUUUUUCCAUCCGGGUAGGUCACCCAUGACAAUGAGACCACACUUCAUCAUUUUUUUCCAUCUGGGUAGGUCACCCAUUACAAUGAGACCGCACUUCAUAUUUUCUCCAUGGGUAGGUCACCCAUACAAUGAGACCAUCAUUUUUCCGGGGUUCGUCACCCAUACAAUGAGACCAUCAUUUUUCUGGGUUCGUCACCCAUACAAUGAGACCAUCAUUUUUCUAGGGUUCGUCACCCGUACAAUGAGACCAGCAUUUUUCUAGGGUUCGUCACCCGUACAAUGAGACCAGCACUAGGGUUCGUCACCCGUACAAUGAGACCAGCAGCACUAGGUUCGUCACCCGUACAAUGAGACCAUCAUUUUUCGAGGGUUAGUCACCCGUACAAUGAGACCAGAAUGAGGUCGCCAGAUGGGAUCUCAUGUAGCUUUGGUUAAAGGGAAUCGCCAGAUGGGAUUUCAGGUUAACCGAGUUACACAUAUUUCGUUUUAGUUGAAUGAGGUCGCCAGAUGGGAUCUCAUGUAACUUUGGUUAAAGGGAAUCGCCAGAUGGGAUUUCAGGUUAACCGAGUUACACAGUUUAGUUCCAAUUGAAUGAGGUCGCCAGAUGGGAUCUCAUGUAGCUUUGGUUAAAGGGAAUCGCCAGAUGGGAUUUCAGGUUAACCGAGUUACACACAUUUUCGUUCCAGUUGAAUGAGGUCGCCAGAUGGGAUCUCAGGUAGCUUUGGUUAAAGGGAAUAGCCAGAUGGGAUUUCAGGUUAACCGAGUUACACACAGUUUAGUUCCAAUUGAAUGAGGUCGCCAGAUGGGAUCUCAUGUAGCUUUGGUUAAAGGGAAUCGCCAGAUGGGAUUUCAGGUUAACCGAGUUACACAAUAUUUUCGUUCCAGUUGAAUGAGGUCGCCAGAUGGGAUCUCAGGUAAACCCAAUGUGUGGGCAGGUCGCCCGUGAAAAUAGACUAUUGGGAGAGUGUGGGUCGGUCGCCCGUGAAAAUAGACUAGAGUGAGUAUGUGUAGGCAGGUUGCCCCAAGAUAAUGAAAUCAUUUUCCUUUUGUUUUCUUUACAAAGCUUACUAUGCAAAAUUUUAAGGAUUUUCGCUUCGUAAGCAUUGUAAAGAGGGGGCAUCUGUUGCUACCCAAUUUUUGACCCAUGUUUUUGAUAUUUUUUCAAAAAAAAUCCAAAAAUAGAGAAAACAAUGAAAAUCCAAAAAAUAUGUUUUUUUUAAUAUAUUCUCGUCAUUUAGCAUUUCAGCGUCGUCUAAAAAGAUUUUAAUUUUUAUUUAAAGAAUUUAAUUUUUCAAAAAGAUUUUCGAACGCGUUCGACUUUUCAGCGUCAUUUUUAAAAUCAUUGAUUUUCCGUAUUUUGAGUCGACGUUGAUAUUGCUCGUUUUCAAAAAAUACAAAAAAUAAUAAAAAUCAAAAUUUACAAAAAGAAAGAAGUUGAGGGACCAAGUUGAAAAACCUAGCAAAAUUUUUGUCUAUAAAUACUGGUUUCCAACACUUGUAAAGGGGGGGGGCAAUUUUGAAAUAUCACAGAAAAAAACACAAAACCUAAACGUAAACCUAAAACCCAUUUUUUUUAAGGCAGCCGCCGCCCCCUCCCCCCUGGUUUUAAUUUUUUUUCGACAGCUGCCGGCCACAAGAAAAAAAUCCAAGACAGCUCCCCGAUCCUCCUCUCGGCUGUUUCUCCCUUUCUUCUCCUUCGGCUACUCAUCCUUCAGAAACCAGAGCCGGCUUAUUCUCCCCUUUCCACUUUCAAAGCCAGCAGCCCCCACCUCUCCUUCAUUUCUUUCUCCAGCUUCUCCCCUCAACCAUGGCCGCCCCUAUUUUUUCAAAAAAAUAGAAAAACACCACUUGAAAACAAAGACAGCCCCGAACCCCUCCCUCUUGAUUUUCUUCUUCCUCAGCCGCCGGACAAGCCUCGCCCCAGGCCAUUUUUUUCUUCGUUUAUCUUCUCCCUUCAGCCGGGCGGAUCUUCAGCUCCUUUCAACAGAAAACAGAAGGAAAGCCCCCGCUACUCCCAUUUCCUUAUCUCCCUUUCAGCAGCGGCUCCUCCCCACAGAGCCGUUCUCCCACCUCCACCAAGCCACCGAUCUGCCACCCGAAGCAGAGGAAGAAGACGAAACCCAGCGCCCACCGGACAAGCAGCAGCAAGGCCAGCCACCGCUGUUCCUUUCCCCAGCAGCGUCGCUCCCCCUUUUUGCAACCGCCGGAUCCACCACCAGAAAUAGAGGAGAAGAAGACACCCACAACCGCCGGCCAUCUGAACAGAAGAAGAGGAAACGGAAACAAUCUGCAGAGAGGGGCAGAUCGAAGACGGCGGAGAAAGAAAGAACAAAAAAAAAACAGAUUUGAAAAAACUAAGAAAA